CCUACGGGAGGCAGCAGUAGGGAAUAUUGGGCAAUGGGCGCAAGCCUGACCCAGCCAUGCCGCGUGUCGGAAGAAGGCCCUUGGGUUGUAAACGACUUUUGACGGGGAAGCGGUACCCGCAGAAUAAGCACCGGCUAACUCCGUGCCAGCAGCCGCGGUAAUACGGAGGGUGCAAGCGUUGUCCGGAUUUAUUGGGUUUAAAGGGUGCGUAGGCGGUUUGGUAAGUCGGCGAUGAAAGCCCGGGGCUCAACCCCGGAACUGUCGUCGAUACUGUCGAACUUGAGUACGGUUGAGGCUGGCGGAAUGGGCGGUGUAGCGGUGAAAUGCAUAGAUACCGUCCAGAACCCCGAUUGCGAAGGCAGCUGGCUAAGCCGUACUGACGCUGAGGCACGAAAGCGUGGGGAGCGAACAGGAUUAGAUACCCUUGUAGUC
rnacentral:rRNA from 1 species